CAGUCGCCGCGGGAAUACGAAGGGUGCAAGCGUUACUCGGAAUUACUGGGCGUAAAGCGUGCGUAGGUGGUGGUUUAAGUCCGUUGUGAAAGCCCUGGGCUCAACCUGGGAAUUGCAGUGGAUACUGGGUCACUAGAGUGUGGUAGAGGAUAGUGGAAUUUCCGGUGUAGCAGUGAAAUGCGUAGAGAUCGGGAGGAACAUCAGUGGCGAAGGCGGCCAUCUGGGCCAACACUGACGCUCAUGCACGAAAGCGUGGGGAGCAAACAGGAUUAGAUACCCGCGUAGUCCCUGUCUCUUAUAC
rnacentral:rRNA from 1 species